rnacentral:rRNA from 1 species
AUACGUAGGGUGCAAGCGUUAAUCGGAAUUACUGGGCGUAAAGCGUGCGCAGGCGGCUUUGUAAGACGGAUGUGAAAGCCCCGGGCUCAACCUGGGAAGUGCAUUCGUGACUGCAAGGCUAGAGUGUGUCAGAGGGAGGUGGAAUUCCGCGUGUAGCAGUGAAAUGCGUAGAGAUGCGGAGGAACACCGAUGGCGAAGGCAGCCUCCUGGGAUAACACUGACGCUCAGGCACGAAAGCGUGGGGAGC